GAUGAACGCUGGCGGCGUGCCUAAUACAUGCAAGUCGAGCGAACAGACGAGGAGCUUGCUCCUCUGACGUUAGCGGCGGACGGGUGAGUAACACGUGGAUAACCUACCUAUAAGACUGGGAUAACUUCGGGAAACCGGAGCUAAUACCGGAUAAUAUAUUGAACCGCAUGGUUCAAUAGUGAAAGACGGUUUUGCUGUCACUUAUAGAUGGAUCCGCGCCGCAUUAGCUAGUUGGUAAGGUAACGGCUUACCAAGGCAACGAUGCGUAGCCGACCUGAGAGGGUGAUCGGCCACACUGGAACUGAGACACGGUCCAGACUCCUACGGGAGGCAGCAGUAGGGAAUCUACCGCAAUGGGCGAAAGCCUGACGGAGCAACGCCGCGUGAGUGAUGAAGGUCUUCGGAUCGUAAAACUCUGUUAUUAGGGAAGAACAAAUGUGUAAGUAACUAUGCACGUCUUGACGGUACCUAAUCAGAUAGCCACGGCUAACUACGUG
rnacentral:rRNA from 1 species